rnacentral:rRNA from 1 species
UACAGAGGGUGCGAGCGUUGUCGAAUCGACUGGGCGUAAAGGGCGCGUAGGCGGCGCGGUAAGCGUGCGGUGAAAGCCCGGGGCUCAACCCCGGGUCGGCCGUGCGGACUGCCGGGCUGGAGCACUGUAGAGGCAGGUGGAAUUCCGGGUGUAGCGGUGGAAUGCGUAGAGAUCCGGAAGAACACCGGUGGCGAAGGCGGCCCGCUGGGCCAGGAAGACGGGCGCAAGCCCGUCGGCUGACACUGAGGCGCGACAGCGUGGGGAGCAAACAGG